CACAAGCCUCUACUGCUCCCUGUUCCGAACAGGAACCACAUAUAACAUCUUGGCUCUUUACAAAUGCUUAAUCCUCAUGGUCAAAUAGAAAUAGGUGCAUAGAUAUUCAUAGGGUGUGAUAACUCUGCUGUAGAUCUAAGGAACCACUAAACAUAUCAUCAGGUUUUGCUGUUUGACCAUGUGAUAUUCAGAGAGAAUAUGGGAGAACGUGGAUAGGAUAACUCUGCCGUGAUUUGCAACAACAGUAAGACUCAAUAUGAUCCUUAAUAUACAUAACUGGAUAUGUAUAUGACCCAAUAUAAUAUCUUUUAUCAUUGUCUGUCUAAACAACCUGGCGGAGGACUGUCAUUGAGAUGUAUCAGUCAAUAUCCUCUCCUUCCAUUGUCAACAAUUCACAUUUCUUUAAAUAGUAAAUAAGCUUAUACACAUCCUCAGUAUUUAAGAAUACAGAACUUGUCUCCUGCCUAAAUUUACUGCUAGCCUACCCAAGAUACCAAAACUUGUCUCCUGCAAGAAAUCUAGAUUCAGAAAUUUGAAUCGAUGCCUUGCACAUUCAGAUAAAGGCAAGGAACAUUAAAUAAAGGCAAGGAACAUUAAAUCAAUGCCUUGCACAUUCAGCAUUAGGUCAAAAUUAACAUGCUGUAGGUAAGGAUUAUCUUUUUUUAUUUUUUGUAUUUAUUUUGAUCCUCAAGGCUUUAAUGUUAAUUUUGCUAACACCAAUUAUUUGUUCAUGCAAUCUUGUGAAAUUUGUAUGUCAGGGCUUGGAAGCUUCUGCAUAAUGAUCUGAGCUAUUUUAAGUACUUGGUUUUUCUCGAAUACAUUUGGAGGCUGUGAUAUAAAAAGUUAUCUUAGCUGCAUCAUGGGGUCUCUAUCUAAUCGGAUACCAGAAAAUACCGCUGCCACAAUUAAAAUCCUCUACAAGAUGUGUUUUGAUGAGAAAGGUGACACAAAGGCGCAAAGCUUCACAAAAAAUCAGAAUUGUCUUCGUUGUAAGGUAAUUUUUUGUUGUGAGAUUUUUCAUUCACCUAGAUAUGUGCACAAAAUUUGAUAUCCUUAGUUUUUGUGUAUCAAGCAUUUUGAUCGAAGGUUUGCAAUGGCUGGAAAGAAUUUUUGUCUCCAUUGACUUUGAUAUGGAUGGAAUAGAUAUUUUCAUAUCAAUAAUUAUCCUAUGCACAAAUGGACAUGGCCGCUGCUAAGAUAUCUCAUGAAUCAGGGUAUGUUUUGAUGUUGUUUCUUUGUUGGAUAAUCACAACUAUUUCCUGUGAUCUUGAUGGCGAUGAGUUUUAUCUUAUUAGUACUUGCACUUCCUUUCUAGAGAAACUUUUACUUUUUUAAUCCCUGGCAGCUAAUAUACAUUAUGCAUAACUUUGAUGCUUUCAGAGUCUGAAUCAUUAGUUGAUAUAUGAGAUUACCGUUUGUUGUGAUGGUCUUAUUCUUUGAGACAUAUUUUCAUUUUUUUCAUAAUGUUGUUAUCAAUCCUAGCGAGAUGCUUGCUCUUGCAAAAGACAAUGUAAUGAAAAGUUGACACUUAAGAUCGUUUAUCUCUAUAAUAUAGAGCAGAUUGAUGCCUUUUCUAGCAAAAUAUUUUCGGUUCAUGAGUUGGCCAAAGUGCCAUGUCUGAAGUGUUGUUGAUGCCUCCUAUUAUCUGACUAAUUAAAGAUUUAAAUUUUGAUUGAGAUAGAAAUAAAAGGAUUGCCCAUCCACAAAUUGUUGCUAGCACCUUAUUUGCUACUACAGUAUCAGGCCACAGAUUAGCAUGGAAAUAUCUUGGCAAACAAUUUGUUUUUGCAACCUUACAGAUGCUUGUUGCAACCCUAUGCUUGGAACCCACAACCCAGCCCUCCAAAAAGUUAACACUAAGAUCAUUUAUCUCUCUAAUAUAGACCAGAUUGUUGCCUUUCCACCAGAGUAUUUUCCACUCGUGAGUUGGCUGGGGUUCAGAGUAUUGCGUCUGAGGUGAUGGAAGUGUUCGCCGAAAUGCCCUCAAGGUAAUAUGUUUUAGUUUCUCGAUGACUUUUUAGUGAAUUUGAGGCGGAUUCCAUUAUUUUCUUUCGUUUGGGUUUGAACUAGAGUGGCAGCUAUGUGCUCUCAACUUUUCUUCAUGAGUGAUCAAUCAUGUGCUAUUGUCAUUUAAAUGAAAGAAAAUGCAGAUAUGUUGUUUAAGCUCUUGUAGAUCAACUUGCUAUAGAGCUGUUGAAACUUGAGAGGCACUUGCAGACAUUUUCUUCCAUGAUAUAAAAGAGAUGCCGCAUGCUAAACUGUGGCGGUACAUUGCCUGCUGACAAUGGAGGAAGUUGGUGAUGACGAUUGGCUCAAGAGGGCGCUAUAGAUGCAUGGUUAGGACUCAUGAGGCUGUGGGGGUCCUCAUGUUUACAAAGGCCAAACUGAGCAACAAUGCUUGCAAGGAGCUCAUCGAGGCAGCAUGGGACAUUGCUGACCAAAGUUUAAAUCCUGAAGGUGGAAUCACACUACAAAAAUUCAAAGAAAUCCUAUCUCAAGUAUUUGUUGGCCAAACUUGCGUCCUAUAAGGCUUCCGUCACCUUGUCGAAGCAGGUGAUCCCUACCAGGAUGACCACCAUUCUUUACAGGAAUCACUCUCUUUCAUGGAUAAAGUGAAGGCGUCAUCUAAAUCCGAUGAAGAUUAUGAAGAUUUUUUUGGUCAUCAUAUCUGAGUCAAUGGCAAAAAAGAUCACUGAUCAAGAGACAUACCUAAAGGUGUUUGUCUUUCUUAGUGGUUUGUCGAGAACAAUUAGAUAGUUAUUUUACAACCAUUUGCCUUUGUAAGUAAAGAGAGCUCCCCACCAGAUGAAAAUCAUAGUGCAAGUCAUAGCUUGGAUGGUAACGAAGAAACAUGUACUUCGUGCAUCUCCGACUUCUUGCAAACAUCUACAAGAGAUGUGUCAGUUUCUCGAGAAGUUUGUUUAUAUGUUUUUUUAAGGUGGGUGUGAGCUCGACCACAGCCUCGUCCUCUCCUUCCCGGUCGCCGGCAAGCCACAGGCAAGAGGAAGAGCUGUUAUGAGAGGAUAUUAGUUCCCUCCAAAUGAGAGCACCUUAGUUUUAUCAUAGCAUUAGCACAAACAUACUUCUUAGCAAUCAACAUGUUCGAUUCUUUUGAUAUUAGUUCCUCCAAAUGAUAAGAGCCCUGCAAUACUUGUUUGUUUUACAUAAACCAUAGAGAUUAGUAUGUAUAUCUAUGAAUUAAUUUUUGUUAUCCUAAACAACGAGCAGGAUGAGCAAGGGUUAUCUACUAGCAGCAACAUAUGGACGACGUGGUAAUAUAAUCGAACUUAUGUACAGGAUAAUACCUUUGGCGUAACUUAUUCAUGAAUUUAUUGGUGCACGAAAGAAAUAAAUAUUAGAGAUUUCUUCUU